CAGUCGAACGGAGCCUUACCAAAGAAGCAGCCAGCUUGCUGGAAGCGGAAAAGGGAAAGGCUUAGUGGCGGACGGGUGAGUAACGCGUGGGUAACCUGGCCCAUACAGGGGGAUAACACUUAGAAAUAGGUGCUAAUACCGCAUAACAACAGAAAGCGCAUGCUUUUUGUUUGAAAACCAAGGUGGUAUGGGAUGGACCCGCGUCUGAUUAGCUGGUUGGCGGGGUAAAGGCCCACCAAGGCGACGAUCAGUAGCCGGCCUGAGAGGGUGGACGGCCACAUUGGGACUGAGACACGGCCCAAACUCCUACGGGAGGCAGCAGUGGGGAAUAUUGCACAAUGGGGGAAACCCUGAUGCAGCGACGCCGCGUGAGUGAAGAAGUAAUUCGGUAUGUAAAGCUCUAUCAGCAGGGAAGAAGAUGACGGUACCUGAGUAAGAAGCCCCGGCUAACUACGUGCCAGCAGCCGCGGUAAUACGUAGGGGGCAAGCGUUAUCCGGAUUUACUGGGUGUAAAGGGAGCGUAGACGGCUGCGCAAGUCUGAAGUGAAAGCCCGGGGCUCAACCCCGGGACUGCUUUGGAAACUGUGUAGCUAGAGUGCUGGAGAGGCAAGCGGAAUUCCUAGUGUAGCGGUGAAAUGCGUAGAUAUUAGGAAGAACACCAGUGGCGAAGGCGGCUUGCUGGACAGUAACUGACGUUGAGGCUCGAAAGCGUGNGGAGCAAACAGGAUUAGAUACCCUGNUAGUCCACGCCGU
rnacentral:rRNA from 1 species